rnacentral:rRNA from 1 species
GAUGAACGCUGGCGGCGUGCCUAAUACAUGCCAGUCGAGCGAACGGACGAGAAGCUUGCUUCUCUGAUGUUAGCGGCGGACGGGUGAGUAACACGUGGAUAACCUACCUAUAAGACUGGGAUAACUUCGGGAAACCGGAGCUAAUACCGGAUAAUAUUUUGAACCGCAUGGUUCAAAAGUGAAAGACGGUCUUGCUGUCACUUAUAGAUGGAUCCGCGCUGCAUUAGCUAGUUGGUAAGGUAACGGCUUACCAAGGCAACGACGCAUAGCCGACCUGAGAGGGUGAUCGGCCACACUGGAACUGAGACACGGUCCAGACUCCUACGGGAGGCAGCAGUAGGGAAUCUUCCGCAAUGGGCGAAAGCCUGACGGAGCAACGCCGCGUGAGUGAUGAAGGUCUUCGGAUCGUAAAACUCUGUUAUUAGGGAAGAACAUAUGUGUAAGUAACUGUGCACAUCUUGACGGUACCUAAUCAGAAAGCCACGGCUAACUACGUG